AGAGUUUGAUCCUGGCUCAGAACGAACGCUGGCGGCAGGCUUAACACAUGCAAGUUGAACGGGAUUUGUGUGGUGCUUGCACCAUAUAAUGAGAGUAGCGCACUGGUGAGUAACACGUGGGAACGUACCUUUUGGAGGGGGACAACAUCUGGAAACGGAUGCUAAUACCGCAUAAGACCUGAGGGUGAAAGAUUUAUCGCCGAAAGAACGGCCCGCGGAAGAUUAGGCAGUUGGUGGGGUAAAGGCCUACCAAACCUACGAUCUAUAGCUGGUCUGAGAGGACGAUCAGCCACACUGGAACUGAGACACGGUCCAGACUCCUACGGGAGGCAGCAGUGAGGAAUAUUGGGCAAUGGAGGCAACUCUGACCCAGCCAUGCCGCGUGAGUGAAGAAGGUUUUCGGAUUGUAAAGCUCUUUCGGAUGUGACGAUGAUGACGGUAGCAUCUAAAGAAGCCCCGGCUAACUUCGUGCCAGCAGCCGCGGUAAUACGAAGGGGGCGAGCGUUGUUCGGAAUUACUGGGCGUAAAGGGUGUGUAGGCGGUUAUGUAAGAUAGCGGUGAAAUCCCGGGGCUUAACCUCGGAAUAGCCGUUAUAACUAUGUAGCUAGAGUUAUGGAGAGGAUAGCGGAAUACCCAGUGUAGAGGUGAAAUUCGUAGAUAUUGGGUAGAACACCGGUGGCGAAGGCGGCUAUCUGGCCAUAUACUGACGCUGAGGCACGAAAGCAUGGGGAUCAAACAGGAUUAGAUACCCUGGUAGUCCAUGCUGUAAACGAUGAAUGCUGGUUGUCGGCUUUAGGGUCGGUGACGAAGUUAACGCGAUAAGCAUUCCGCCUGGGGAGUACGGUCGCAAGAUUAAAACUCAAAGGAAUUGACGGGGACCCGCACAAGCGGUGGAGCAUGUGGUUUAAUU
rnacentral:rRNA from 1 species